rnacentral:sRNA from 2 species
UAAUGCCGAAUGCCGAAUUCCAUCGAACAUGGAAACGGGGGAACCAUUUCUGGGUGAAUUGAUUUUGGGCAUCAUGCCGCAGACAGCGGAUGCCGGAUAAAUCAUAGGGAACCUUCAACCGAACCCCACAGCUAACCUCGUAGGCUCUGGAAGGAGCACAU